GCCUCGGUAGCUCAGUUGGUAGAGCAGCUGACUUGUAAUCAGCAGGUCGAGGGUUCAAAUCCCUUCCGAGGCU
rnacentral:tRNA from 1 species